rnacentral:rRNA from 1 species
AGCCGCGGUAAUUCCAGCUCCAAUAGCGUAUAUUAAAGUUGUUGCAGUUAAAAAGCUCGUAGUUGAAUUUCGGGAUCAAUACGUUGGUCGUGCUUUCGGGUACGUACUGGCGUCGUUGGUUUCUCUCUUCUGACGAACCAUGAUGUCAUUAGUUUGGUGUUAUGGGGAGUUAGGACUGUUACUUGAAAAAAUUAGAGUGUUUAAAGCAGGCAUUAGCUUGAAUACAUUAGCAUGGAAUAAUGAAAUAGGACGUUUGAUCCUAUUUUGUUGGUUUACUAGGAUCGACGUAAUGAUUAAUAGGGAUAGUUGGGGGCAUUAGUAUUCAAUUGUCAGAGGUGAAAUUCUUGGAUUUAUUGAAGACUAACUACUGCGAAAGCAUUUGCCAAGGAUGUUUUCAUUAAUCAAGAACGAAAGUUAGGGGAUCGAAGACGAUCAGAUACCGUCGUAGUCUUAACCAUAAACUAUGCCGACUAGGGAUCGGAUGAUGUUAAUUUUUUAAUGACUCAUUCGGCACCUUACG